GAGGGUAUAGCUCAGUGGUAGAAUGCAUGCUUAACAUGCACAAGGUCCUGGGUUCAAACCCCAGUACCUCCA
rnacentral:tRNA from 1 species